rnacentral:rRNA from 1 species
UACGUAGGGUGCAAGCGUUGUCCGGAAUUAUUGGGCGUAAAGAGCUCGUAGGCGGUCUGUCGCGUCUGCUGUGAAAACUCGGGGCUUAACCCCGGGCCUGCAGUGGGUACGGGCAGACUAGAGUGCGGUAGGGGAGACUGGAAUUCCCGGUGUAGCAGUGAAAUGCGUAGAGAUCGGGAGGAACAUCAGUUGCGAAGGCGGCUCUCUGGACCAGCACUGACACUGAGGCACGAAAGCGUGGGGAGCAAACAGG